GCCCGGAUAGUGUAGUGGUAAUCACACCGGUCUAAUAAGCUGGUAACGGGAGUUCAAUUCUCCCUCUGGGUA